rnacentral:snRNA from 1 species
UCGUGGUUUGCCACGUCAUCA